rnacentral:rRNA from 1 species
AGCAGCCGCGGUAACUCCAGCUCCAAUAGCGUAUAUUAAAGUUGUUGCAGUUAAAAGCUCGUAGUUGAAUUUCGGAAUCAUCAGGUUGGUCGUGCCUCUGGUAUGUACUGAUCUCGAUGGUUCCUCCUUCUUGAAGAACCGUAAUGGCAUUAAUUUGUUGUUGCGGGGAAACAGGACUGUUACUUUGAAAAAUUAGAGUGUUUAAAGCAGGCAAUCGCUUGAAUACAUUAGCAUGGAAUAAUGAAAUAGGACGUUCGAUCCUAUUUUGUUGGUUUCUAGGAUUGACGUAAUGAUUAAUAGGGAUAGUUGGGGGCAUUAGUAUUCAAUUGUCAGAGUGAAAUUCUUGGAUUUAUUGAAGACUAACUACUGCGAAAGCAUUUGCCAAGGAUGU